rnacentral:miRNA from 10 species
GGAAUCAUAUUAGGUUGGUACAAACGUCAUUGCGGUUUUUGCCAUUACUUUCAAUGGCAAAAAUGGCAAUUAUGUUUGCACCAAUCUAAUAC